rnacentral:rRNA from 1 species
CGAAGGGGGCUAGCGUUGUUCGGAAUCACUGGGCGUAAAGCGUAUGUAGGCGGAUUGUUAAGUCGGGGGUGAAAUCCUGAGGCUCAACCUCAGAACUGCCUUCGAUACUGGCGAUCUUGAGUCCGGGAGAGGUGGGUGGAACUCCUAGUGUAGAGGUGAAAUUCGUAGAUAUUAGGAAGAACACCAGUGGCGAAGGCGGCUCACUGGCCCGGAACUGACGCUGAAAUACGAAAGCGUGGGGAGCAAACAGGAUUAGAUACCCUGGUAGUCCACGCCGUAAACGAUGGAUGCUAGCCGUCGGACAGCUUGCUGUUCGGUGGCGCAGCUAACGCAUUAAGCAUCCCGCCUGGGGAGUACGGUCGCAAGAUUA